rnacentral:rRNA from 1 species
GGAAAGAUUCGGUCGCCUUAGGUUGUGCCUGCGUAAGAUUAGCUUGUUGGUGGGGUAAUGGCUCACCANUGCGAUGAUCUAUAGCCGAGCUGAGAGGCUGGUCGGCCACAUUGGAACUGAGAUACGGUCCAGACUCCUACGGGAGGCAGCAGCUAAGAAUCUUCCGCAAUGGUCGAAAGACUGACGGAGCGACGCCGCGUGAAUGAUGAAGGCCUUACAGGUUGUAAAAUUCUUUUAAUAGGGACGAAUGUUUAACUUUAAGUUAAUCUGACGGUACCUUUUGAAUAAGAUCCGGCUAACUACGUGCCAGCAGCCGCGGUAAUACGUAGGGAUCGAGCGUUGUUCGGAAUUACUGGGCGUAAAGGGUACGCAGGCGGUUUGAUAAGUCAGAUGUGAAAUCUCGCGGGCUCAACCCCGAGGCUGCGUCUGAUACUGUCAGGCUAGGGUUACUGAGAGGAAGACGGAAUUUCUGGUGUAGGGGUGAAAUCUAUAGAUAUCAGAAAGAACACCGGUUGCGAAGUCGGUCUUCUAACAGUUAACCGACGCUGAGGUACGAAAGGCAGGGUAGCAAACAGGAUUAGAGACCCUGGUAGUCCUGCCUGUAAACGUUGUAUACUAGGUGGUGGGCGCAUUGAUCCGUUCACUGCCGCAGCUAACGCAUUAAGUAUACCGCCUGGGGAGUAUGCCGGCAACGGUGAAACUCAAAGGAAUUGACGGGGGCCCGCACAAGCAGUGGAGCAUGUUGUUUAAUUCGAUGAUACGCGAGAAACCUUACCAGGUCUUGACAUAUACAUGACGCUUAUAGAGAUAUAAGUUCUCUUCGGAGCAUGUAUACAGGUGCUGCAUGGUUGUCGUCAGCUCGUGCCGUGAGGUGUUGGGUUAAGUCCCGCAACGAGCGCAACCCCUAUUCUCUGUUGCUAACGGUUCGGCCGAGCACUCGGAGGAAACUGCCGGUGACAAACCGGAGGAAGGUGGGGAUGACGUCAAAUCAUCACGGCCCUUAUGACCUGGGCUACAAACGUGCUACAAUGGGCGGUACAAUGAGUUGCGAGAUUGCGAAAUUAAGCUAAUCUCAAAAAGCCGUCCUCAGUUCGGAUUGGAGUCUGAAACCCGACUCCAUGAAGCUGGAAUUGCUAGUAAUCGCACAUCA